UUGAACUUGGACUCAAUGGCCCAAAAGAAAAAAAAAAUGUGAGAAUUGGAUCUGAUUUCUUAAUCGGCUCAAAUGGCCCAAGAGAGAUCUGAUGUGGACAGUGGGCUUGAUCCAAAAAAUGGCCCAAUAUAGAUGUGUUAUUAAUAUUACUUGAUUGCCCUUAAUGAAACAUGCAAUGUUAGUAAAGAAAAUGGCAGGCUAAGGUAAAAAGGACAAUAGGAUCAUGCUUUAAUAGUAUAGAUUCAAAUGAUAUACACCUUUUGGACCGGAUAUUUACUAAACUACAGAUAGUAUAAGAGAGGGAGUAUUAAUGUUUUAUAAGGAAUGUAAUAUUAAUGUUGUAUAAGGAAGAUAAUAAGUUAUUAAUUAAUCUAUAAAAUAAGGGAAGAAGUAUUAGUGAUUUUUUGUUGGUUUAACUUUGUAAAUUAUAAUAGAGUAGUGUAUUUAAUUUAAAAACUUACAAAGUCUCGUACAUUGUUUAUGUUUUAAUAAGAGAGAUAUAUCCUAUCCAACCCAAAAGUAACUGAUCAUCCAAAACAAAAUUAUAUUCUAAUAUGAUUUUCAUAUGUUUAUAGUUAAAAAUACUCAUCAAAUUUGAAUUUCCAUAAUUUUGAAUCCAUAAGUUUCUGAUAUUUUAAUAAACUAUGUUUUUAAUUUGUCUGUCCGUGCGGACAUAAUAAUAUUACAAAUAUUUUGAAAAUAGAUGUAUUAUCAAUUCAAAAACCAUUAAAAUAAUUUAUUGUUCAUGCAUUCAAAAUAUUUGAUAAUAAUCUAAACAACAAACAAUUUAUAGAAAACAAAAUUUUGCAUCAUAAAUAAGUACUUUUUAUUACGUUAAAUACUCAUGAGUUUGAAUAUUUAGUAACAAAUUAAAUAUCAAAUUCUUUAUACAUGAAAUUUAAUUAUAACAAAAUUUUCUUUUAUUGCAUAAAAUAAAUUUUAAAAUACUCAUAUAUACAUAUAUUAUAUACAAACUAUAUACAUGGGUUUAUCUUCUACUUUUUUUUAAUUUUAAAAAUUUAUGAUGUAAAAAGAAUUUCUUCUCUGAUGCAAUAUAAACUAUUUUAGAUAAUGAUUAUUAUCGAAUAAAUGAAAUUUUUUUUAAUUUAAUUAUAUAUUACAAAUCUAGUUAAUCUGAUCAAAAGUGAUAAAGAAUUUAGUCGCUAUAACUCUCGGUGUGAAAAAUAUCAAAUAUUUGAUAUAUCACAAAAAAAAUUCAUUAUAAUAAAAUAUAUUAUAUUUCAUAAAAUAAAUUAAAAACAUUCAUGUAUACAUAAGUUAUAUAUAUAAUAUAGAGAUAUUUUAUUUUAAAAUUAUAUCAGGCAAAAUAAUCUUUUGGAUACCACAAUAUAAACUAUUUUGGAUAAUGAUAAUUAUCAAAUUAAUAAAAUUUUGUUAUUAAUUUAUGGUCAACAAAUCUAAUUAUUCUCAUUACGGAUAGAAAAAACUUUAGUUACUUUAAUUUCUAACGCGAGUAUUCAUAGAAAAAAUAAUAAUUUGCAAAUAUAAUCCCCUAUAUAUUAAAAGAUAAUCAUUACAACAUUUAACUUUAACAUGUGUCAUCAGCUUCUUAAAAUUUCUAGAGAAAUAUGUUGGUACAUUAAACAUAUAUUAUAUACUUCGUAUUAAACUAACCAUAAAAUUAAUUAACAAUCUACAAUUAUUAUUUUUCCUUCUUUCUUUAAAUAAAAGAUACGACGAUACAAGUUUGGGUAUUCUCAAACAUCCCAUCGAAUCCAGCUGUUUUCCCUAAUCCUUCACUUUUCGCGAAUAUGGAUCAUUUGUUUUGGAGAGUUCUUCCACAAAUGCAUGAUCAUCAAUUUGCUUGGAUAUUAUGGUACAUUUGGAAAGGAAGAAAUAAUAAAGCUUUUAGUAAUAUAUAUAUUGAUCCUAGGGACAUUUUAAAAUUGGCAGAAACGAAAUCUCUAUUGUGGACUGAAGCACAUGUUUCAUUGGCACAAAGGGUUCCCCAAAAUAUAGAGGUCGAGGCUACUAACCUAUCAAUCAUUCCAGGUAGAUGAUGCUUUACAGAUGGGUCAUGGAAAGAUCAGGAGAUGUUUUCGGUACAAGGAUGGUAUAGUAUUUUGGAAGGUUGUGAUGAUGGUUUUGAUGGUUUGAUGGGCGCAAGGAACAUAAGGGCGUGUCUGUCACCACUUCACGCGGAAGUGGAAGUGUUUAUUUGGGCAAUAGAAUGUAUGCGAAAUUUACGUUAGUUUCAGGUCACAUUUGCAACAGAUUGUUCUCAAUUGGUGAAGAUUGUUUCAGAACCAGAAGAAUUGUCAGCUUUUACAAGUUAUUUAGAAGAUAUCAAAAUCCUGAAAGAAAGUUUCAACAACUCGAACAUCAUUCAUGUACCCAGAACACAUAAUACACAAGCGGAUUGUCUUGCACGCAGUGCCAGGAAGCAACCGUCUUUUGUCGUUCACAUGGAUGCAGAGUUACCGGUUUGGUUUGCAGAGUCUUAGGAGUCUGUUUAUGCUGAUGACAAAAAAAAACUACGAAAUUACCAAAAGUGAAUAAAAUAUAUAUUUGACAAUUAAUGAUUUUAAUAAUAAAGAUUUGAUAACAAUUUACAUAUCUUAUAUUAUUUUAUAGUUAUAUUAUUAGAAUAAAUUAAACAAUCAUAUUAACCAUAUAAUAAAAUUUUAGAUUUUUCCAUAUAUUUCAUAUUUUGAAUUUUUAAAAACGACUAUAAAUUAAGAAAAUCGUUAAAAGCCUCACACUAAAAAUGUUAUGAUCUAUAGUUUAAAAUAUUUGUUAUAAUAAAAUACAAAUGAUCUGUAUGAGUAAAAAUCACAUUUAAUAGAUAUUCAAGUUAAUAUAUACAUACGGCUUCUGAUAUGAUAUAAUUAUGGUUGAAUAGACGAAGUUAAUAUUCAAUAAUUAUUAGAAUAUAUACAUUUCAUUCCGCGCAUGUGCGCAGAUAAUUACCUAUUACAGAUAUAUUAUGCAUUAUAUGAAAUUAACUUUAGUUCUCCUGUAUCUGUCUUUUCAAUUAUUAUUUAAGGAAAUAUAUCUUUAUAUAUAAAAAAAGGGUUUGAAUCACUCCUAGAAGGUCCACGUCGGAUGCCACAUCAUCAAUUCGUUCACCCGCGUGCCGACACGUGUCCCCAUUUAAUGAAACGUAGGGCUUUGUGUUUUGUUUUUCGUAUGAGCUUAAAUUUGGGCUUACCCUCAUCUAUUGUUCGCGGCCCAUCGAACACCUAACUAUGCGGAAACCCUAACUCGAGAUGGUGAACGCGUUUGUGUUCUUCGUAUCCCUUCGAUCGGCGGAGAGGGUGACGAUCCAGUUACGUAACGGGGAUGUUGUGAUUACUCUGUCUUUAAUCUUAUUGUCUUUAAUCUCAUUAAUCAGACGCGCACUACGAUGUUUUCAGAUGCUUUGCGCAGUCGGCGAUUUCGGUAUAAAUAGUUUCGUACCUCUCUUCUGCGAAUCACGAUCUCGAAAUCUCUCUGCAACUCAUCUCUCUUAUACUCGGGAGUGAUCUAACGUUUUUUGUUUCUUCUAUAUACUGAUUGUUCCGAGUUAUUAUUCUCCGGCGUACUGUUAUUAUUUUCCGGUGAACUUUAUUCCGUUUAUUAGCACUGAUAGUUUUUUCUAGUGAACUUUUUUCUGUGAACUUUUUUCUGUUAUCUUCACUGUUACGCAACCAGAAAGGAGCUACUCUGUCAAACAACUGUUAUAGAAACCAGACAUCUUCUCUAAAUCAACAGAUCAAUUCAGUUUCAAUCAAAAAAGUUGCAGCCUCAUUACUUUUUCCGUAUUAAAGUCGAGUAUGCAGUUUUUUGUUGCUACUUUCAUGGCCUUGAAUAAAGAAAAAGGUCCACUGCCAUCCUUCAAACCUGCCAAAUCCGGAGGUGGAACGCAGAAGAAGGUAACCUCCUAUCAAAUCUCAUCUUCUCUUAAAUCAUUUUUUUUGCUUACGUUGUUCUUUCCUUUUCUUGAUUUGACAUAAAUGGAGCUAAGGAAAGAAAAACCAGAAAGUGAACAACUGUUUCUCUUCGAUGACAAGCUUCGAUCUGAAGCCCCUAUGUUCAAAUUGACCAAGCCUUCUAUUCUCGCUGACCGUCUUCUUCGUGUAAGUUACUAUAUCCACUUUUUAAAGAUUCCAACUUUUCAGCUCUUACAUCGUGUGUGUGUGUUAUUUUCUAGCUUUGAAAAGCUAAUUCAAUGGGUUUGGAUAGUUAUCCUUAUCUUUUGUAUAAGUUAAUGGUUCUCUUUGAUGGGUUUGAAUAUCAAGUAUCAGGUUGUUCUUCGACGGCUGAAGCAUAGAGGUAUAUGGGGAAGAAAGAGGAAGCGAGAGAACAAAGGGUACUUGCCCAACAUGAAAACAUCUAAACGCAUGUCUAUGGCUCUUUACAUUGUAUGUUUAUGCCUCUUUACAUUAUCAGUACCUUUAUAUUGAACUUGAAGCUAGAAUAUCGUUAUCUCACAAGAAGCUGCUGUUACAGGUCAAUUACUUCCCAUCAGGAAUGACCCGGUUCAUCAUGCUGAGAAGUAUCCAACUCCACCUGCAGUCUACUCUGGGAAACAUGGGUGCUUCUGGUAAACACCCACCGUUUCAGUCAACAUUAUUUCGUUUGCACUGUAACAUACUAUUGGACUCAACUGUUCUGUUAAAUUUGAAGUGGAGAUUGCACCACAAAACAUUACUCAGACAAUUCCUUCAACGUCAUUUACAGCCGUGACACCAUUCUGCACAUCCAAUGAAUAUUGUUGGAGGAUGGAAAGUGAAGCCGGAGAGAAGUGCUUCGGGUGUACAGCCAGUUUGUUGAUAGUUAUACGGAAACGAUAAACGAUAUAUAAAGUAAAAAUAAUUAAAAUGUCAAUUAUAUAUUUAAAUAUAGUUUUAUACUAUGAUGAUCUGCAAUGAUUCGUAUAUUAAUAUAUCUUUUGUUAAACUUUGAUUAAACCCACAA